AGGUUGACCUCGGAUCAGGUAGGGAUACCCGCUGAACUUAAGCAUAUCAAUAAGCGGAGGAAAAGAAACCAACAGGGAUUGCCCCAGUAACGGCGAGUGAAGCGGCAAGAGCUCAAAUUUGAAAUCUGGCCUCCCCCGGGGGCCCGAGUUGUAAUUUGCAGAGGAUGCUUCGGGUGCGGCCGCCGUCUAAGUUCCUUGGAACAGGACGUCAG
rnacentral:rRNA from 1 species